rnacentral:rRNA from 1 species
GAACGCUGGCGGCGUGCCUAAUACAUGCAAGUAGAACGCUGAAGAGAGGAGCUUGCUCUUCUUGGAUGAGUUGCGAACGGGUGAGUAACGCGUAUGUAACCUGCCUUGUAGCGGGGGAUAACUAUUGGAAACGAUAGCUAAUACCGCAUAACAAUGGGUGACACAUGUCAUUUAUUUGAAAGGGGCAAUUGCUCCACUACGAGAUGGACCUGCGUUGUAUUAGCUAGUAGGUGAGGUAACGGCUCACCUAGGCGACGAUACAUAGCCGACCUGAGAGGGUGAUCGGCCACACUGGGACUGAGACACGGCCCAGACUCCUACGGGAGGCAGCAGUAGGGAAUCUUCGGCAAUGGGGGCAACCCUGACCGAGCAACGCCGCGUGAGUGAAGAAGGUUUUCGGAUCGUAAAGCUCUGUUGUAAGUCAAGAACGAGUGUGAGAGUGGAAAGUUCGCACUGUGACGGUAGCUUACCAGAAAGGGACGGCUAACUACGUGCCAGCAGCCGCGGUAAUACGUAGGUCCCGAGCGUUGUCCGGAUUUAUUGGGCGUAAAGCGAGCGCAGGCGGUUUGAUAAGUCUGAAGUUAAAGGCUGUGGCUCAACCAUAGUUCGCUUUGGAAACUGUCAAACUUGAGUGCAGAAGGGGAGAGUGGAAUUCCAUGUGUAGCGGUGAAAUGCGUAGAUAUAUGGAGGAACACCGGUGGCGAAAGCGGCUCUCUGGUCUGUAACUGACGCUGAGGCUCGAAAGCGUGGGGAGCGAACAGGAUUAGAUACCCUGGUAGUCCACGCCGUAAACGAUGAGUGCUAGGUGUUGGAUCCUUUCCGGGAUUCAGUGCCGCAGCUAACGCAUUAAGCACUCCGCCUGGGGAGUACGA